UUGAGAAAAUAUUUUUUUAAAAGCUAGGCUGCAUCUCCGGUAAGAAAUAGAACGAAAUUAAGUCUAAAGCAUGAAAGCCAAGAUACCUCAAAUUGAAAUUGUAGUCAUGAGUAGAGUUCCGAACUUCAUAAGUUGAGAAUCUAAUUAAUCUGUUGGUGAUUGAGUGAUUGAAGCUGCAAGAUGACCUGAUAGAACCACGUCUCUUAUAACCUAUUGCCCUAGUAUCCCUAAAAUAUACAAUAAGCCUAAGCCUCACUAGAUGGUGUCGGGUUAUAUGGAUCGAACCAAUCAGAGUAUUUUAUAUAAAUUAUGUCAAUUGACAAAACAUUGUUCUCUAACUUUUUUCAAAAUUGUUUCAUUCAUGAGUUUUUUCUUGGCUACUCAAGAAAACACUUCAGAUUUAAAACACUUACAAAACUAAGCCAGGUAAAAUUAACUCUUGUUCUUUUUAACCACUAAUACUACCACUAAUCUUGAAUCUAAACUUAAACCAACAGAAGAGAUUUUCUCUAAUUAAUUACUAUUAAUUCCUAGUGAUAAACUAGGAAUGAAGAAUAUAAAGUGUUUGGUUAAUUACCAGAUCAUGCUGGCAGCUUCAACCUCUCAAACCAGCAUACUUGUGAAUAGAGAGAUCGAUGAACACUAUUGGUACCCUUUAAUUGAAUCUCCAAAAAUUGCAUGACUCAUGCAUGUUUGGAGUAAAGAAAGCCCUCCAGAUACAUAUAAAUGCUUGACUGUGCAGCUUCAAUGUCU
rnacentral:lncRNA from 1 species